AGUGGGAGGACGAAUAAGCAAAUCAGCAAUGCCAAUGGAUCUGAAGAACCCCAUUAUCCUGCCCAGAGACUCUACUGUAUCCAAACUGAUCCUGGGCCACAUCCAUCAGCAGAUUGGACACUCGGGGAGAAGCCACAUGCUCUCAAGACUGAAUCAAAGAUUCUGGUUGCCUCGUGCUAACUCGGCAGCCAGAAAGAUAACCAGAGCCUGUGUUCCGUUCUAAAAGAACAGAGAUUGGAUGAUGAGACUCUACAGACAGCUUUGUGCGAAGUUGAGAGCAUCAUGAAUGACAGACCAUUGACUACAGUUUCAAGUGACCCAAACGAUCUCGAACCCCUCACGCCAAAUCACCUCCUUCUGCUAAAGACAAAACCAAUUAUGCCACCUGGACUCUUUCACAAGGAGGACUUGUACUCACGGAGGAGAUGGAGACAGGCACAAUACCUCGCAGAUCUCUUCUGGAGGAGAUGGAUAAGAGAAUAUCUCCCAACCAUGCAACAGCGAGUCAAAUGGCACAACCCCAAACGGAACCUUCGCCCCAAUGAUCUCGUCGUCAUCGUGGAUAACACGGCACCAAGAAAUUCCUGGCAACUGGGCCGGGUGAUAAAGACACUGUCAGGGUCCAAAGGGCUUGUCCGAAGUGUCUUGGUGAAAACCAAGGGUAGCACCUUACAGCGACCAAUAGACCUAUCGCUAAACCACGCCCCAAAUAGAAUUUGUCCAAUCAUAUCACAGCAAAAAUCCCUCCUGGCAGAAAACUCGGACAUCACCAGAAAAGCCGUUUGUGGGGCGCAUCAAACCAAAACCAGACGUCUGUGAUCGAAACCACUGUGAAGAGUUCAGUUUCUAUGUUUAUUAUCUAGCUAAUAUCUGAUGGUGAAACGCUGUGCGUGGGGUACCUGUAAUUCGGACACCAGGUACCCUAAAAGACUGGAUGGAGGAUUAUAUUUCGUACCUUUUCCGAAGCCCAAAAGAAAACUCAACAAAUGCAAGCGGUGGAUUAUGCUGUGUCGUCAACCACAUAGCACAUACACAACUGAAUGUGAAGACAAUUACCAAGGACACUUAUUAUUGCUCAAAGCACUUCAGAGAUGGGAAGCCAACUCUGGAAUAUCCAGAUCCCAUCCGGGCUCUCGUGUGUGCUGCUCCGAAAAGACACAGACCCUCAACCAAAAAAAGUGAGGUAAUUGAGGACAGCCGGCGUGCUCGGAGACCUGAUGAGACGGGGAGCGGAACAGUUUUUCCACCGCAAAUUGUAAACAGAGAUUAGUGUUGCAAAUUGGACUGCAAAGUAUAGUUUAUAUAGGAAAGCAUACCGCCGAAAUAUUGAUUUAGAUUUGUUAUUUUGAGACUAUUUAAGUCAAUACUUUUUUGUUAAUAAAUUACAUUUUUUG